AAAAAAGCCGAGUUCCAUGGUGGAAACGGGGGAACCAAUGUUUUGGGGUGAGUAGCUGUUUCGACAGUUUAGGGAAUCCUUUCGCCCGAACCCUUCAGCUAACCUCGUAGGCUUGAGAAAG
rnacentral:sRNA from 1 species